rnacentral:rRNA from 1 species
GACGAACGCUGGCGGCGUGCCUAAUACAUGCAAGUCGAACGCACAGUUUAUACUGUAGCUUGCUACACCAUAAACUGUGAGUUGCGAACGGGUGAGUAACGCGUAGGUAACCUGCCUGGUAGCGGGGGAUAACUAUUGGAAACGAUAGCUAAUACCGCAUAAUAUUGAUUAUUGCAUGAUAAUUGAUUGAAAGAUGCUAUUGCAUCACUACCAGAUGGACCUGCGUUGUAUUAGCUAGUAGGUGAGGUAACGGCUCACCUAGGCGACGAUACAUAGCCGACCUGAGAGGGUGAUCGGCCACACUGGGACUGAGACACGGCCCAGACUCCUACGGGAGGCAGCAGUAGGGAAUCUUCGGCAAUGGACGAAAGUCUUACCGAGCAACGCCGCGUGAGGGAAGAAGGUUGUCGGAUCGUAAAGCUCUGUUGUAAGAGAAGAACGGGUGUGAGAGUGGAAAGUUCACACUGUGACGGUAUCUUACCAGAAAGGGACGGCUAACUACGUG